rnacentral:rRNA from 1 species
UACGGAGGGUGCAAGCGUUGUCCGGAAUCACUGGGCGUAAAGGGCGCGUAGGCGGCUCAUGAAGGCUGUGGUGAAAGUCCGGGGCUCAACCUCGGAUCGGCCGUGGCGACUCGUGGGCUGGAGCACUGUAGAGGCGGGUGGAAUUCCGGGUGUGGCGGUGGAUGCGUAGAGAUCCGGAAGAACACCAGUGGCGAAGGCGGCCCGCUGGGCAGUGGCUGACGCUGAGGCGCG